rfam:Prevotella copri strain 2789STDY5834881 genome assembly, contig: SCcontig000013
GGAGUAAAGCUAGCCGUGAGAAGUCAGCAGAUGUCAUAGUAGUGUGCUUUUCGAUAUAGCGCAUGAAGGAC